rnacentral:lncRNA from 1 species
CCCCAGUCUGCCUGGCCCAGCCAACACUUCACCUUCUUUCUUAGCCAGUUUGCUGGGAGAACACCCUACCGGUAGCACAUCUUACCGUAUUCACCCCCUCCCAUCAAACUCGCCCCAAUUCUCUCUCCACAUCCAGAGCUCUCUCCCCAGGUUGGAAGAUGUUUCCAUGAAGAAAAAUCCCGCCUUCAACUUCUACGUUAUUCAUCCUGCUUUUAGAAAUGACCCUUGCCCUGAUCUGAGGUGGAAGAAAUAAAGGUCUGGUAAAGAAAUGA